rnacentral:misc_RNA from 1 species
CGAGAGUGUCACCGCUCCCACCCAUUGUUUACCUACCCGUCCACCGUGCUUCGGCAGGCAGUCCUGUGGGACAGGUCCUCGCCCCCGCGAGGGGGUGCCUGCCGCUGGCCAACCAACAUUCUAGUCGUUUUUAGUACCAUCUGAGUCUUCCACAAAUGAACA